CACCCCACGCCGCCAUAAAUUUAUCCUCCUCUUCAACCUCAAAUCAUUAACAUAAUGUAACCCAAAACUCAAAUAUCAAACUAAAUUAAAAUCUGUAAAUUUACUCUCAAUAACCCCAAUCCCCAAAUUUUUUAAUGUAUCAAUUCUUAUUUCAACUCAGAGGUGAGAAAUACCCAAAGGAAGGUGAGAAAAGUACCCAGAGGUGAAAAAUCAACCUCAACUCCUCCAUCCCCUCCACUGGCCUCGCCGCCUUCACCUCCCUCCGCCACCUCAACCUCUCCCUCAACGCUCACCGACCUCCCCCACCUCCGCCGCCUCGACCUCUCAUUCAACAACUUCUCCGACGGGAAGCGGAUGCAGAACGUCGCGAGAAUCUGAUGUAGAACGUGGGAAUCUGAUGCAAAACGUCACAAAUAUGGAACCAGGGGCAGUCACGGAUCUGGAGAAACGACGACGGGCUAGGUUCGCACAAAGGUCAGACGCGGUUUGGGCACGAUGCUGGUGGGUGGUGACGCGCGGAUUUGUACGCGGUUUAGGGAAGAAAUCGCGGAUCUGGGCGCAGGUCGGGUUGUGGUGCUCGGAUCUGCAACGCUGAACAGAGAGGGCGCGCGGUGCAGAGAGUGGAGAAGCACGGCGACUGAGUCGCGAGGCAGAGGUGCACGGGACAGAGGACUUGUGGUACUGGUGCGGAAAUUCCAUCCACCUUCGGCCAAUUCCGGCAACUCCAGCCCCUCUCCCUCGUCUCCAACCGCAUCACCGGAACCAUCCCUACCUCCCUCGGAAACAUCUCCACCCUCAAAGAGCUUCACCUCGCUUACAACAACCAUCCUUCACUAAGUUUUAGUCUUUAUUUAUUUAUUGUGUUCUAAAAAAUAAAUAUUUUAUUGAUUAAAAAAGUGAUAAGUCAGUAUUUCCGUUAGUCAACUAACGGAGAUGGACGGAAGGGCUUCAAUCGACCGUUUUAGAAACAUGAGGGAGCUUGACCGCGCAUUUUAGACAUGGGGGAUGCAUAUCGCACAUUUGUGAAACAUCAUGGACUCAAAGUGCAAUUAAGCCAUGAUUUUUUAAUCCUUUCCUUAGUAAUAAAUUGUCAUAGGUUUUUCCCUUUGAACUUAAAUUCUAUGCUAACUUUUGAGUGACAUGGUUAUCUUUCCACACCCAUGGAUCAAUCUUUUUAUAACAGAAGAGCAUAAUACAUAAUAUUGUGCUCAAGUCAUAUUCGAGUAUAAACAAGCAAUGUCUUUUUACCCCAUUUUUUACUUUUUUGUUUCAGAGAUCAUUGAAUAAGGUUUAAAAUGAGUUCUGGAAUUUUUGUUACCAUACCAAGUAUGCUUAGGCUGAUCUGAUAUUUUAUCUUGAGCUUUCGCUUUGCUAGGUGAGGCAGUGUGACACUGAAGUUUCUCAGGAAUUGUAAAAAAUAUUUUGAUUUAGCAAUUCUCAUGAGUUUCAUUGAUGAAUAUGCUCUUAAUUGAUUGAACAAUAUGCACGGGAGGUCAUUUUAGGAUCCAAAACCAGAAAUUUAAAAUUAGUAAGAGCUAUGGAAUUGUCAAAAGGGAACAUGAAGUGCCCCAAAUAACACUUUCAGCUAUCAGAUCAAAAGCUCUUAUUGCUUCAAUCAGAGCCAUUUUUGUGUGCAUUACGCUAUAAUUUAUGUUACAGAUAACUACUAUGGAAUUGCUCAAACAGUAUAACCAGUUGAAACAAGAGACAAAAAAAGGAGAGCAAGAAGAACAAGGGUUGCAGGUUCAAGAUAUCGGAGAGGGGAAGGAGUUACGGCGCACAGAGGGGACCAGAAUCACAACAAUCUGUACAAUAUCGUCUUGAUCAGGUUCAUGUUUCUCUCGCUUCAUGGAUACGUCUUUGAGAUUCCUCUCCCACUUCACCUCACUUCCAGAUUCAAAAGGCAGUAGCAGGAGUUAUUGAGUAAGCUUUUGGGUUUCCGAGAGUUACAUUUCAGCUCUAUAAUAUAGCACCUUCAGUAAGAGGUUGAUAGAUUCACGAGUGUUUCCAUUUCAUACAACUUCUCCCAGAUGAAUUCACUUAUUUAGCUGAUGAUAGUUGUAGAGCGUUUUGGAAGCUACUUGAUUGAAGAUGGUAAUGGAAGCUCUAAUGUUGAACUUAUCAAACUUUUGAAAGGAGAAGAAUUAGUCCUUUAUUUAGUUAUGUUUUGUUUCAUAUUUAUGUUCCGUGUAGUCUACUAUUGGACUGUAUGUCAGAAAACUCACCAGGACAAUCAUUAUUUUCAGUUUUAUUAUCAAUGUGGUUACUUA